CCUACGGGAGGCUGUAGUGAGGAAUAUUGGUCAAUGGACGAGAGUCUGAACCAGCCAAGUAGCGUGAAGGAUGACUGCCCUAUGGGUUGUAAACUUCUUUUAUAUGGGAAUAAAAUGUUCCACGUGUGGGAUUUUGUAUGUACCAUAUGAAUAAGGAUCGGCUAACUCCGUGCCAGCAGCCGCGGUAAUACGGAGGAUCCGAGCGUUAUCCGGAUUUAUUGGGUUUAAAGGGAGCGUAGGUGGAUUGUUAAGUCAGUUGUGAAAGUUUGCGGCUCAACCGUAAAAUUGCAGUUGAAACUGGCAGUCGUGAGUACAGUAGAGGUGGGCGGAAUUCGUGGUGUAGCGGUGAAAUGCUUAGAUAUCACGAAGAACUCCGAUUGCGAAGGCAGCUCACUGGACUGCAACUGACACUGAGGCUCGAAAGUGUGGGUAUCAAACAGGAUUAGAUACCCCAGUAGUC
rnacentral:rRNA from 1 species